rnacentral:SRP_RNA from 1 species
GGCCGGGCCCCGGGCGGUGGGAGCUUGCGAACCGCGUCAGAUCCGGGAGGAAGCAGCGCUAAGCAAUGCCUCUCAGGCGCCCGGUGUGUCCGGCCCUU